rnacentral:rRNA from 1 species
AUACGUAGGGGACGAGCGUUGUCCGGAAUUACUGGGCGUAAAGGGCGCGCAGGCGGAUAUUUAAGUCAGCUGUAAAAGGCAUGAGCUCAACUCAUGUAUGCGGUUGAAACUGGGUAUCUAGAGUGCUGGAGAGGUAGGCGGAAUUCCCGGUGUAGCGGUGAAAUGCGUAGAUAUCGGGAAGAACACCAGUGGCGAAGGCGUGUUACUGGCCAGCAACUGACGCUGAGGCGCGAAAGCCAGGGGAGCGAACGGGAUUAGAUACCCCGGUAGUCCUUGCCGUAAACGAUGAAUGCUAGGUGUGGGUGUCGAGAGGCAUCCGUGCCGGAGUUAACGCGAUAAGCAUUCCGCCUGGGGAGUACGAUCGCAAGAUUGAAACUCAAAUGAAUUGACAGGG